ACGAUUUCGAAAAUACAAAGAAAAACAUUCAUCAUAUUAAAGGUUACCUUUUUAUUUUAUUUUAUCUUCUUUUUCUCUCAUUUUUGCUUGAUAUUCGCCUUAAGUUUUGAAAGAAAAAUACGAAAAGAGGGGUAGAAAAUUACCUAACCUACGGCGGCCAAGGUUUGCCAUUUCCAAUGAAAAAUGGCAUCUCAGGGGGUUUGAAUUUGAAAAGCCAAGAAAAAUGGCUCUUUUUUUAUUUUCUGGCCACUGUAUACGGCGGCACCGUCGUCGGUGACCGGCGGCCGCCAUGAUGGUCCGACAAUCGGGGCUUGGCCGGCCGAAACCUGAAACAGAGAGAAAUGGAGCAUUUUUGAAGUUUUUUUUCUAAAUAGGGUAAAAAUGAUUUUUUGUUGGAUUUUUUUUACAUUUAUAAAACAAUGAAACGUUGCCGUUUUGAGCUUGAGUCCCCUAAUGCCAAAACGACUUCGUUUUGGUAUGAAACGGAUCGACCCAACCCGCUCCAACAGGAUCCACGUGUUUUCUAAACAAUGGUCUUAUUGCGCUUUUGGUCCUUUCGCAAUUUCUAUCUUUUCAAUAUGGUUCAUUUUUAUUUUCAAUUUUUACCCCAUGAUCUUUUUUAUCGCAAUUAGGUCCUCCUUGAUACUGUGCGUUUUGGAGGGCAGGAUUAUUUCCCAGUUUGGUCGCUCCUUGUUAUACACGCGUUUAGAUUGAUCCUCUCUCUUUUUAUUUGUUUCGAAUUCGCCCCAAAUCUCUGUUUUAAAGUUUAAUUUAGUCUUUUUUUUGUUAUUUUGGUUAUUUCGUUAUUAAAUUAGUUAUUUUAAAAUUAUUGUCACUAUUAUUAUAUUUUCUUUUUUUGUUUCAUUAAUAUUAUUUGCUACUUUAGUUACUUUUGUUUUAUUUGCUUAUAUUCUUUUCGUAAUUUCCAACCAAAUUGUUUUAUUUAUUAUCC
rnacentral:lncRNA from 1 species